UGGAUCCAGACUUUGAUCAUGGCUCAGGAUGAACGCUAGCUACAGGCUUAACACAUGCGAGUCGAGGGGAAACGACAUCGAAAGCUUGCUUUUGAUGGGCGUCGACCGGCGCACGGGUGAGUAACGCGUAUCCAGCCUGCCCAUCACUUGGGAAUAACCUUGCGAAAGUAAGACUAAUACCCAAUGAUAUCCCACGAAGGCAUCCGAAUGGGAUUAAAGAUUUAUCGGUGAUGGAUGGGGAUGCGUCUGAUUAGCUUGUUGGUGGGGUAACGGCCCACCAAGGCAACGAUCAGUAGGGGUUCUGAGAGGAAGGUCCCCCACAUUGGAACUGAGACACGGUCCAAACUCCUACGGGAGGCAGCAGUGAGGAAUAUUGGUCAAUGGGCGAGAGCCUGAACCAGCCAAGUAGCGUGCAGGAAGACGGCCCUAUGGGUUGUAAACUGCUUUUAUAAGGGAAUAAAGUGGGUCACGUGUGACUUUUUGCAUGUACCUUAUGAAUAAGGACCGGCUAAUUCCGUGCCAGCAGCCGCGGUAAUACGGAAGGUCCGGGCGUUAUCCGGAUUUAUUGGGUUUAAAGGGAGCGUAGGCCGGAGAUUAAGCGUGUUGUGAAAUGUAGAGGCUCAACCUCUGCACUGCAGCGCGAACUGGUCUUCUUGAGUACGCACAACGUGGGCGGAAUUCGUGGUGUAGCGGUGAAAUGCUUAGAUAUCACGAAGAACUCCGAUUGCGAAGGCAGCUCACGGGAGCGCAACUGACGCUGAAGCUCGAAAGUGCGGGUAUCGAACAGGAUUAGAUACCCUGGUAGUCCGCACGGUAAACGAUGGAUGCCCGCUGUUGGCCUGAAUAGGUCAGCGGCCAAGCGAAAGCAUUAAGCAUCCCACCUGGGGAGUACGCCGGCAACGGUGCAACUCAAAUGAAUUGACGGA
rnacentral:rRNA from 2 species